rnacentral:rRNA from 1 species
CAGCCGCCACGGUAAUACGUAGGUGGCAAGCGUUGUCCGGAAUUACUGGGCGUAAAGCGUGCGCAGGCGGUUCGUUAAGACAGAUGUGAAAUCCCCGGGCUUAACCUGGGAACUGCAUUUGUGACUGGCGAGCUAGAGUAUGGCAGAGGGGGGUAGAAUUCCACGUGUAGCAGUGAAAUGCGUAGAGAUGUGGAGGAAUACCGAUGGCGAAGGCAGCCCCCUGGGCCAAUACUGACGCUCAUGCACGAAAGCGUGGGGAGCAAACAGGAUUAGAUACCCCAGUAGUCCCUGUCUCUUAUAA